rnacentral:rRNA from 1 species
GAUGAACGCUGGCGGCGUGCCUAAUACAUGCAAGUCGAACGAAACUUCUUUAUCACCGAGUGCUUGCACUCACCGAUAAAGAGUUGAGUGGCGAACGGGUGAGUAACACGUGGGCAACCUGCCCAAAAGAGGGGGAUAACACUUUGAAACAGGUGCUAAUACCGCAUAACCAUAGUUACCGCAUGGUAACUAUGUAAAAGGUGGCUAUACUACCGCGUUUUGAUGGGCCCGCGGCGCAUUAGCUAGUUGGUAGGGUAAAGGCUUACCAAGGCAAUGAUGCGUAGCCGAAUUGAGAGGUUGAUCGGCCACAUUGGGACUGAGACACGGCCCAAACUCCUACGGGAGGCAGCAGUAGGGAAUCUUCGACAAUGGGCGAAAGCCUGAUGGAGCAACGCCGCGUGGGUGAAGAAGGUCUUCGGAUCGUAAAACCCUGUUGUUAGAGAAGAAAGUGCGUGAGAGUAACUGUUGACGUUUCGACGGUAUCUAACCAGAAAGCCACGGCUAACUACGUG